rnacentral:rRNA from 1 species
UUGUAGUACCCCGUUGACUUAAGCAUAUCAAUAAGCGGAGGAAAAGAAACCAACAGGGAUUGCCCUAGUAACGGCGAGUGAAGCGGCAACAGCUCAAAUUUGAAAUCUGGCGUCUUCGGCGUCCGAGUUGUAAUUUGCAGAGGGCGCUUUGGCAUUGGCAGCGGUCCAAGUUCCUUGGAACAGGACGUCACAGAGGGUGAGAAUCCCGUACGUGGUCGCUAGCCUUUACCGUGUAAAGCCCCUUCGACGAGUCGAGUUGUUUGGGAAUGCAGCUCUAAAUGGGAGGUAAAUUUCUUCUAAAGCUAAAUACUGGCCAGAGACCGAUAGCGCACAAGUAGAGUGAUCGAAAGAUGAAAAGCACUUUGGAAAGAGAGUUAAAAAGCACGUGAAAUUGUUGAAAGGGAAGCGCUUGCAGCCAGACUUGCCUGUAGUUGCUCAUCCGGGUUUCUACCCGGUGCACUCUUCUAUAGGCAGGCCAGCAUCAGUUUGGGCGGUUGGAUAAAGGUCUCUGUCAUGUACCUCCUCUCGGGGAGAACUUAUAGGGGAGACGACAUGCAACCAGCCCGGACUGAGGUCCGCGCAUCUGCUAGGAUGCUGGCGUAAUGGCUGUAAGCGGCCCGUCUUGAAACACGGACCAAGGAGUCUAACAUCUAUGCGAGUGUUUGGGUGUCAAGCCCGAACGCGUAAUGAAAGUGAACGGAGGUGGGAACCUUUCGGGGUGCACCAUCGACCGAUCCUGAUGUCUUCGGAUGGAUUUGAGUAAGAGCAUAGCUGUUGGGACCCGAAAGAUGGUGAACUAUGCUUGAAUAGGGUGAAGCCAGAGGAAACUCUGGUGGAGGCUCGCAGCGGGUUCUGACGUGCAAAUCGAUCGUCAAAUUUGGGCAUAGGGGCGAAAGACUAAUCGAACUAUCUAGUAGCUGGUUCCUGCCGAAGUCUCCUCUCAGAGUAGUAAAAAC